GAUGAACGCUGGCGGCGUGCCUAAUACAUGCAAGUCGAGCGAAUGGAUUAAGAGCUUGCUCUUAUGAAGUUAGCGGCGGACGGGUGAGUAACACGUGGGUAACCUGCCCAUAAGACUGGGAUAACUCCGGGAAACCGGGGCCAAUACCGGCUAACAUUUUGAACCGCAUGGUUCGACAUUGAAAGGCGGCGUCGGCUGUCACUUAUGGAUUGCCCCGCGUCGCAUUAGCUAGUUGGUGAGGUAACGGCUCACCAAGGCAACGAUGCGUAGCCGACCUGAGAGGGUGAUCGGCCACACUGGGACUGAGACACGGCCCAGACUCCUACGGGAGGCAGCAGUAGGGAAUCUUCCGCAAUGGACGAAAGUCUGACGGAGCAACGCCGCGUGAGUGAUGAAGGCUUUCGGGUCGUAAAACUCUGUUGUUAGGGAAGAACAAGUGCUAGUUGAAUAAGCUGGCACCUUGACGGUACCUAACCAGAAAGCCACGGCUAACUACGUGCCAGCAGCCGCAGUAA
rnacentral:rRNA from 1 species